ACUGACAAAGCGGAGGCAGAACCCUCGUAGAACCAUCAAGGGGUUCACCAACAUCAAGUCACACAAGAGCGUGAGGGAGGACAGUGAGAGGGGAAGAGAGUUCCAGCAGGGAGGGUUUGUCUAGUCCUUUGCAAGGGUUUAAGUUAAAUCAUGGCCACCCACAUCCCAGGGGGACUGUUAGGCAGAGGGCUUUUCCCUGCCUAAUCUUGUCUAGCACUCAUAGCAAGGGAACCAGCUUGCAGCAGCCUCCUUCAGGGUCAAAGUUCAGAGCCCAGCUGAGGAGGCACAUAGAUGAGGGUGGCCAGAGCCCAGGACGCCUGCUAACUUCUAUUCUGUUUCUUUCCAGAACUGUCUCAAAAAACCUUCCUGCAAACUCCUGGCCCUCUUGUGCAAUGUAUGGAUUCUAGUGAAAGCUGCAGCCGUAAGUCUCUCCUAUGCUUUCUGUAAGUAAGGACUCUCAGGCUGGGGUCCUUCCCUCCACUUCCUCUGCCUUGUGAAUGUAACAUGAAUCUCUCGUUUACUUUUUCCACCGUCUAGUUGGUGCCAGUCCCCAGGAAGGAAUGAGCAAGCUGCCACACUGUAGCCUAGUAGUGGAGAACUGGAGGAGGGGAAAAUCAAGGGUUAUAGGUCAUCGGUGCCAGCCUGGGCUACAUGAGAGCUUUUUGGGGGGUCGGGGGA
rnacentral:lncRNA from 1 species